CGAGGAGAAACGAACGGUGUUCGUCGUUCGGGUAAACUCGGUCGUCGAGCAGCUGCUUCGAAACUCGGAAACUGCUCAGUCGCUUCGCGCGCUCCAAACCGAACGUGUCGUCUCGAUUCGUUUAUCUUUCUUCGUCCGUCGUUGGUUCAUUGUAUAAUUUUUUCGUAUACGGUUCGAGGGUUUUGUAUCUGAAACAAUUUAAUCGUAUGGACUCUUGUUGAAAAGAAAAAAAUAAAAAAAAAAAAAUAAGAAAAAAAGAAAGAAAGAAUUAAAAUAAAAUAUUACCAUCGUCAUCGAGAAAGUUUAUCGUGGAAAAAGUUUCGAAUGAUUCGACGAUAGAUACUCUCUUCUUCCAUUCGUAAGUAGUAGUACUCCUACCUAGUUGUCGUUUAAAAGAGAGGUUUCGAGAGGAGGAACGACAGUUUGGGGGUUGGAAAAAAUAAAGAAGAAUAAGAAGAAAAAGAAAAA
rnacentral:lncRNA from 1 species